rnacentral:rRNA from 1 species
ACUCAAAGGAAUUGACGGGGGCCCGCACAAGCAGUGGAGUAUGUGGUUUAAUUCGAAGCAACGCGAAGAACCUUACCAGGGCUUGACAUAUAGGUGAAUAUGCAAGAAAUUGCAUAGCUCUUCGGAGCACUUAUACAGGUGGUGCAUGGUUGUCGUCAGCUCGUGUCGUGAGAUGUUGGGUUAAGUCCCGCAACGAGCGCAACCCCUGUGAUUAGUUGCUAACAGUAAGAUGAGAACUCUAAUCAGACUGCCGUAGAAAAUACGGAGGAAGGUGGGGAUGACGUCAAAUCAUCAUGCCCUAUAUGCCCUGGGCUACACACGUACUACAAUGGGAGCAGACAGAGAGAAGCGAAGCAGUGAUGCGGAGCGAAACUUAUAAAAGCUUCCACAGUUCGGAUUGCAGGCUGAAAUUCGCCUGCAUGAAGCCGGAAUUGCUAGUAAUGGCAGGUCAGCAUACUGCCGUGAAUACGUUCCCGGGCCUUGUACACACCGCCCGU